rnacentral:misc_RNA from 1 species
CCCACAUUAAAAGUUAUGACAAUUUCUUUAAUUAAAAAAAAAGUAAACGACUAAAUAUUAAGUAUCAAUCAUACAUAAUAUGCUAAGAAACUAGCGUAAAAUAAAUACCUGAUCCUCCCUUCCAAAUACGGAAGUCAACAGGUGACGAUGCAGCAGAAAAUCCAAGCUGCAGUUAGUUGAACGAGAAAUAAUAUUUGCAUAUAGAAUGCAGAUAAUUUGAUAGGGAAGACCCCUAUUCCAGGGGCAAGGGCCUAAUAAAGAGCAUAUUUCCCUUUUAUUACCUUGAAAGGAAAAAGCAAAAUCAACGGAAAAAGCUAAAAUAAUUAAACCAAAAACUCAUUAAAGAACAUGGAUAUAGAAAUUGUUUCAAUGUGUACUUUCAGGAGAAUUAUGUAUCCGACUUAAAAUUACCGACUCAGACUCAUUUGACCCAGGCAUCAAAGCCCCUAAUGCCUUGGGAGAACCAUCCGAAAAAAAUACAUGGCCACAUAUUGCAUCACCAACCCCCGGCUUUUCUUCAGCACAAGUAAAAGUAUUACUAUCUUUCAUCUCACUAUUGUCAUCCAUGUUCUGCCCAUCAGUGGGGAGAACUUCGUCAGCAUUUGGCACAUCAUCAGGAUUGGAAACAAUAUCUCCUUGUUUAUCUUCUGAAUUCACCAGCUGAGACAACAUCCCAUCUACCUUAUCACCACUGAAAAUCAUCAUGGGCUGCUUUUCUGUGCUAUUAUAACUAAGAGUUUGACUGGCCCAUUCCACCUUCAGAGUAGGAGUAUGAGCCUUAAAAUCCACCUCCUGGCUGCAAGCCACUUCUGAAUUCCCUUCCUCAAUAGCAAUUGAAGGGCGAACUUCCACUUUCUCCUCAUCUAAGUUCAACAUCUGCACAUCAGACAUCACUGCAAUGUGAUCAAAAACUGGCUCUUCUGCUAUGACCACAUCAUUAACAGUUACUUGCUCCUCCAUUUUGGAGGAUGAAAUAGCAUGUAUUGUUACACCAUUAGCCAUUGGCAAGCUCAAACCUACUCUCUGCCUCUUGUAAAUGUCCAUUGCUCUCUGAAAAACAGUAUCACUUGUAGCAGGAAAAAGUGAGGAGCUCAACAAGGUAUCAGAACUUUUUGGUACUGCUCUAGCACCAUCCUUCAAAUUUACUAGCAUGGCAGUGUCUUCAUCAGCAGUAGCACUCUGUUCUAUAUUAAACAAGCUCAUAAACUGAUUGUGCAACUCUGGAUCAGUAAGCUCAGUUGAAAUGUCCAGCUUGGUAAGAUAAGCACAGUAAACAUAAGCAACAUAAUCAUUACUUGGUGAAUUAGGAUGAUCAGGCUUCUGCUCAUGGGUAGUUUUAGGUGAAGAUUUAAAGGAUUCUUUUGCUGAAGGAGUAACAGCUACCUUUGUUUCAACAAUUUUUGCCUGAACCCCAUGAUAAUUACCUUCAUUUUGUGACCUUUGACCUUCCUGGCCAGUGGCAACAUCUUCCGCAGGGGCCUGCACUGGAAAAUCCUCUUUCAGGGAUGUCGAGGGCAAAUCCAUAUUUGCAUCACCAUUUUGCCCUUUCCAAAUGUCAGCACUAUUUUCCCACCCUCGACCAUUCAUUGGAUGCCUGUUCUGGUCCCAUUCUGUUCCCCCAUAUACGUGUGAUUCAUCCCUAAAUACACCAUUACUUCCAUCCCAUCCAUGCAUGUGAGAAGGCCCUGAACCAUCCAUCAUAUUCUGCCAUCCAAGGGGCCGCAGAUGACUGGAAAACCUGUCAGCAUCAGGAAUAUGAUAAGGAAUGCCAGAGUGGUUGAUUUCCAUUGAGGGUCUGACUCCAAAUAGAGGAGGAGAUGGAAACUGUGGCAUCAUGGCUUGAAAACCUCCAUGAGGUGGCCCAUGUUGGAAAGGAAUGUAGCCAUUCGGCAAAGGUGAAGGCCAGUUUGGAGCACCUCUCCAAGCAUUUCCUUGCCCUCUUCCCAUGUUGGGAUCAGCACUCCUCUUGUAGCGGGCACCACUGUUAAUUCUACUAUCUUCUUCCAGUGAACCCAAAAAAGGACUGCCAGCUCCACCCCUGAAAGCAGAUGGUGGAGGAAUCAAAGCAGAGUUAUUUUGACUAUUUCUGUUGUAAAAGGAAGAAUCAACAGAAGGUGACUCAUCAGCUAGAGACUUAUCGAAAGGUAAAUCACGACUUGGCCUGUCAUCAGCACAAGGCAAAUCUCGUGCACCCAUGGAACCACUGCUCCUUCUCCCCGAUUCUUCGAUGUCAAGACUCCAUCUAACACCAGACUUAUUCAUGUAUCUGCGCUCCAGACUUGAUGUAGGAGAUCUAUCCACCAGGCCCAUGGGCGAAGCUUUAGAACUUGAAGAUCUUUCUAAAGACAACUCCCCAAUAUGGCCAUCAUCCAUUUUAGUAGGCUUCUCAGCAGAUCUAUACUUGGAAGCUCUUUCUGAUGCUCCUGCCAAACUAGUAACCUCCCUAGAAGAAACUGAUUUGGAUCUCUGUUCUAUUGCAGCAUCUCUGUGCUUUAGUUCUUCCUGUUUAAAUUGCCUGUAAUCAUCUGCAGCUCCAUGAGAACUGGUGUUGGGGGAAGCUCUCCUCCUAUUGCUGUUGGUACUAUUGUCUGGGUGAUCUUGAAGUGAUUGAGACCUUCCCCGGUCAGCAUCAGACUCAACUCUACUGUUGCUCAAAGAUUUCUUUUCCAUGUCAAGAUAAAGGGUUUUGACACCAAUAGAUUUAGAAUCAUUAUAAUCAUCACGAUCAUCAGGAGAUAUCUUCCUUCCCCUGCUCUCUUUGUAUCUAGUAGCACUUCGAUCAUCAUAGUCAAGAUUUCUGUCACGGUCACGGCCACGCUCUCUAUCUCGGUCCCGGUCUCGCUCUCGUUCAUGGUCUCUCUCUCGUUCACGAUCUCUUUCCCGAUCCCAAUCCCGGUCACGCUGCUCUCGAUCCCAAUCUCUAUCAUGGUCGCGGUCCCUAUCCCGGUCUCUAUCUCUGUCACGAUGAUAACUUCCACCAUCAAUAUCAUGAUCAUAAUCCCGGCCAAGAUCAAAAUCAUGAUCAUGAUCUCGCUCAUGGUCACGAUCACCAUCUUGUAGCUUAUAUUUCUUUGGUUUAACAUCUUUGGUAUCUUUAUCAUCCCUCAAGUUCUUACCAUCAGACCUGCUGUUAAUGCGAUCUUUUGCAGCACGCUCAUCUCGGUGUCUGUUUUCCCUGUCCACAUCUUCACGGUACUUGUCUUUAUAUCUCUCCUCCUUAUACUUCUCAUCCUUUGGCCUUCCAUCCUUAGCAACAUCCUCCCUUGAGGACAAUUGUCUGUCAUUGGUGUCUCCAUUAUCAUCAUGAUGCUUAUCCCCAUCGCUAAAACCAUCUCGUUUUCUCUUUAUCCGUCUAUCAGGCAGGGUAUCCAAUUCGGGACUUUGCAGUAGAUCGCGUGCAUUCAACUCAGUUUUUUCAGAUACAUGCUUCACUGAACGCAUGUCUUCACCAUCAACCAAUUUGUCACUCUCCCCCUCCUUACCCCUCCUAUCUCUCUCCUUUUCCCUUUCCCUCUCUCUAUCCCUCUCCCUAUCAGUUCCACCUUCUCUCCCCUCCUUCCGACUACUUGAUUCCCUAUGCUUUCCCUCACUCUUUCCGCUGCUCUUUUUCACCAACUCCUCACUCUCACCAUAUGCUCCAGCACUCUCAUCUCUCCUCUUAUUCCUGGAUUCACCCGACUUCUCCUUCAACUUCUUCGUCCCCUCCCCUCUAUCAUCAUCCCCGCCAUUCCACCUAUCAUUCACGCCAUCCUCAACUCUCUCCUUAACCCGCUUUGAUGACGAGUAUUCCUCUAGGUACUUCCCAUUUCCAGAGCCAAACGAGUCUUUAUUGUCCUUAGACUCGAGCUUUCGCUUCUCACCAGAGCCAGACUCCUUGGGAAGUCUAACAGUACUAUCCUCUUUGCUCUUUCUGUCCUUGGAGCUUGACUCCUUCUCAGAAUCUGAGUAGUCCCUUGCAUCUCUCGAACUAUGUUUGCUCGAUUUAUGGCGUGAACUUCGCGGCAUCACUGCCAAAUACUCAAAACCCUAAUUGCGAAUUUCAAGAGUGUAUUAAACACUCGAAUCGAUAUUGAAAACCCUAAUCCCAACCAGCAAGCAAAAGCGGGAACUAAAAUUAUAAAUCAAAACGCUACUUUAAAAAAUCUGAAUACCAAGAAGGUAGCCGAAUCUGAUACUUAACCCUGAUUGGUAAUUUUGGACAAGUAACUCGGUACUCGAUGAACUCUAACUAGAAUGAAUGUGCGAUAGUUAUGAGGGUGAAGAGCAAGAGCAGUAGAAACCCUAGCCGGACGGAUAGUAUCGCCAGAGAGAAGAUAUCAACGAUAAGAGGGAAUGAGGUUCAAAUGCUAAGAUCGAAAUCGAGUAAAAUUACGAGAGACACACAAAAGAAAUAGAUGAACACGAUGGGGGAUAAAUGUGGAAAGGGAAUGAAGCGGCGUUGAGGAAAAAGCAACAGGUGUGUGUUAUGUUGGAGGCUCUUUUUCGGUUUUUGAUUUUGUUUUUGUUUUUGUUUUUGUU